CCUACGGGUCGCUGCAGUGAGGAAUCUUGGUCAAUGGCCGUAAGGCUGAACCAGCCAAGUCGCGUGAAGGAAGAAGGAUCUCUGGUUUGUAAACUUCUUUUAUAGGGGAAUAAAGGUAUCCACGUGAGGAUAUGUGCAUGUACCCUAUGAAUAAGCAUCGGCUAACGCCGUUCCAGCCGCUGCGGUAAUACGGAGGAUGCGAGCGUUAUCCGGAUUUAUUGGGUUUAAAGGGGACGUAGGUUGUUUUUUAAGUCAGCGGUGAAAGUUUGUGGCUCAACCAUAAAAUUGCCGUUGAAACUGGAAGACUUGAGUGUGUUUGAGGUAGGCGGAAUGCGUGGUGUAGCGGUGAAAUGCAUAGAUAUCACGCAGAACUCCGAUUGCGAAGGCAGCUUACUAAGCCAUAACUGACACUGAAGCACGAAAGCGUGGGGAUCAAACAGGAUUAGAUACCCCUGUAGUC
rnacentral:rRNA from 1 species